rnacentral:rRNA from 1 species
CCUACGGGAGGCAGCAGUGGGGAAUAUUGCGCAAUGGGCGAAAGCCUGAAGCAGCGACGCCGCGUGAGGGAUGAAGGUCCUCGGAUCGUAAACCUCUGUUAGCAGGGAAGAAAGGUCACUGUGCUAAUCAGCAGUGAAUUGACGGUACCUGAAAAGGAAGCACCGGCUAACUCCGUGCCAGCAGCCGCGGUAAUACGGAGGGUGCGAGCGUUAAUCGGCAUUACUGGGCGUAAAGCGAUCGUAGGAGGUAUGUGAAGUCAAGGGUGAAAUUCCCGCGCUCAACGUGGGAAGUGCCUUUGAAACUGGGAAACUGGAGUGUGUGAGAGGAUAGUGGAAUUACAGGUGUAGGAGUGAAAUCCGUAGAUAUCUGGAGGAACAUCAGUGGCGAAGGCGACUAUCUGGCACAUAACUGACGCUGAGGAGCGAAAGCGUGGGUAGCAAACAGGAUUAGAUACCCUAGUAGUC